UAUGUUGAAUAAAUGUCAUGUCUAUAACAAGAAAUAUCUGCCUUUUGAAUAAUUAUGAUUAUUAACAUUUUAUUUAUUAGCAUUUUACGAUAUUUUGAUCAAAACACCUCUUCAAAAUCCAAAUGUAUAUGUAUAAUUUUAAUUAUUAGCAUUAGUAACAAUAAUUAUAAUAGAUACAGUUUUAAUCUCAAAAGAGCAGUGAGAUUCUGUGUGGACUUUUACAUAUCACUAUUACAUUUUUAUUCAUACACUGUCAUGAAAACACUGUUUGACCAAUUAAUCAAAUAAUACAGCCAAAAAAAUAAAACUAAAUACACACACGUUUGUUAAAAAAAAAAAAAAAAGUUUAUUUUCCAUUACCACUCUGAAACAAUUUCUAUUGGUUGUUUCACCUGUUGCUUUCAUCAGGAUUGGUUAAUCUGACUGUCAUUCACGAAACUGGCCAAUGACAGCCUCGCGCGCCUUUUUGCUAGUGCAGUUUGAAAAUAUACUAAUCAGUUUGGUGAUGUGCUGCUACUGAUCCGCAAGAUUACGCGCUCAGUUCCUGAUUAUGUGCCUGUUAAAUUCUUAUUGUAAACUAAUUUGAACUGUGAGAUGUCAACGGAGAACAGAAGCUGGAAUGUGAACACAGAGGAAGGGGCAGACUGGAUGUGUGAGAUCGCGAAAACAUAUGGCGAUGUCAGGUGGCACAAAGAAAAGGAAAUAGAACUUGUCACCAUCUUCAGUCCUUUAUUUUAUUCACUGGAGAACAUCACAGCCUUCAGAUGUGUCAUAUCAGGAUAAAUGCAACUGCAGGACUCGUUGGGCCCACCCCACUACAGAUUCAGCAAGGAUCCAGCUGAUCACUGCCAAUUUGAAGGAGGAUUGUCCUUUAUCUGCUACAUUGCACUCUCACAUCUGAGGCUGUUAAGAAGACUGCACUGAUGUCAAAGAUCAGCCAGCAAGAAUCUGAGAGGGAACUCUCAAAAUGGUUUACUGGGACAAGAGACAGAGGAGGAUUGAGGGUGUCUAGAAUGCACAAAUGUCUGUCUGCAGUGUAAGCAGUACUGAAAAAUGUAUAGUUGCUGCUGCUGUUUCUUACUGUCUCUGUUUUCUAUGUGCAAAUGUUCAAAGCUUUCAGUAAAUACUGGUUCAAAUACAAGUUCAAAAUGUUUGUUAACUUUAACAAUUAAAUGAUUUUAACAGUUAGGUAUCAGAAUAUAGCAUAUGAUGGGUAGUUUCAAUAAAAUUGAAAUUUGAAAAGAUUUCAAUCUCACUGUGUACUGCUGAAUGCUAAUGCUUUAAAACUUUAAAACUUUUUUUAAUCCCACUUGCAAGCCAUACUUUAUCCCAUGUAGUUCCCACAUAGAGUUUGAAGAUGGGACCUAG